GAAGUAAAAGUCGUAACAAGGUUUCCGUAGGUGAACCUGCGGAAGGAUCAUUAACGAGUUUGAAAUCGAGAGCCUGUUGCUGGUGCGGAAACGCACAUCGUGCACGGCUCCUGUGCUCAAUCCAUUUCAACCCCCUUGUGCACCUUAUCGAAGUCAGUAGUCUUUCUCUUUUUGUUUGCCGGUUGUGUGCGGGAACCUCUUUCUGUUCACUUGGCCGGCGAGGAGAAAUAGAGGGUCGAAAGCUUUGACUUUUCUGUUAAACACUUUGUAUGUCUUGUGGAACGUAUUAGCUCCUUUGCAGGGGCGAAAUAAAUACAACUUUCAACAACGGAUCUCUUGGCUCUCGCAUCGAUGAAGAACGCAGCGAAAUGCGAUAAGUAAUGUGAAUUGCAGAAUUCAGUGAAUCAUCGAAUCUUUGAACGCACCUUGCGCCCCUUGGUAUUCCGAGGGGCAUGCCUGUUUGAGUGUCAUGUUAAUCUCAAACCCCUUGUCUUUUUUGACUUGGUCGGUUUGGACUUGGAGGUGUUGCUGGCGUGUAUACGCAGUACUAUGUCGGCUCCUCUUAAUUGCAUUAGCUGGACUUUGGUUCGCAUUUGACGGUGUAAUAGUAAAGUGUUCGCCGGGCGUGCUUGCCUAACGGGUCUGCUUCUAAUCGUCUUCGGACAACUCUGUUCAUUUUGACCUUUGACCUCAAUCAGGUAGGACUACCCGCUGAACUUAAGCAUAUCAAUAAGCGGAGGAAAAGAAACUAACAAGGAUUCCCCUAGUAACUGCGAGUGAAGCGGGAAGAGCUCAAAUUUAAAAUCUG
rnacentral:rRNA from 1 species